rnacentral:rRNA from 1 species
GACGAACGCUGGCGGCGUGCUUAACACAUGCAAGUCGAACGGAAAGGCCCUGCUUUUGUGGGGUGCUCGAGUGGCGAACGGGUGAGUAACACGUGAGUAACCUGCCCUUGACUUUGGGAUAACUUCAGGCAACUGGGGCUAAUACCGGAUAGGAGCUCCUGCUGCAUGGUGGGGGUUGGAAAGUUUCGGCGGUUGGGGAUGGACUCGCGGCUUAUCAGCUUGUUGGUGGGGUAGUGGCUUACCAAGGCUUUGACGGGUAGCCGGCCUGAGAGGGUGACCGGCGACAUUGGGACUGAGAUACGGCCCAGACUCCUACGGGAGGCAGCGGUGGGGAAUAUUGCACAGUAGGCGGAAGCCUGAUACAGCAACGCCGCGUGCGGGAAGACGGCCUUCGGGUGGGAAACCGCUUUCGCCUGUGACGAAGCGUGAGUGACGGUAAUGGGUAAAGAAGCACCGGCUAACUACGUG